UACGGAGGGUGCAAGCGUUAUCCGGAUUCACUGGGUUUAAAGGGUGCGUAGGUGGGUUGGUAAGUCAGUGGUGAAAUCCCCGAGCUUAACUUGGGAACUGCCAUUGAUACUAUUGGUCUUGAGGAAGGUAGAGGCCGGUGGAACGAUAGGUGGAGCGGUGGAAUGCGUAGAGAUCUAUCGGAACGCCAAAGGUGAAGACAGCCGGCUGGGCCUUUCCUGACGCUCAGGCACGAAAGCGUGGGGAGCAAACCGG
rnacentral:rRNA from 1 species